rnacentral:rRNA from 1 species
GACGAACGCUGGCGGCGUGCCUAAUACAUGCAAGUAGAACGCUGAAGAGAGGAGCUUGCUCUUCUUGGAUGAGUUGCGAACGGGUGAGUAACGCGUAGGUAACCUGCCUUGUAGCGGGGGAUAACUAUUGGAAACGAUAGCUAAUACCGCAUAACAAUGGAUGACACAUGUCAUUUAUUUGAAAGGGGCAAUUGCUCCACUACAAGAUGGACCUACGUUGUAUUAGCUAGUAGGUGAGGUAACGGCUCACCUAGGCGACGAUACAUAGCCGACCUGAGAGGGUGAUCGGCCACACUGGGACUGAGACACGGCCCAGACUCCUACGGGAGGCAGCAGUAGGGAAUCUUCGGCAAUGGGGGCAACCCUGACCGAGCAACGCCGCGUGAGUGAAGAAGGUUUUCGGAUCGUAAAGCUCUGUUGUAAGUCAAGAACGAGUGUGAGAGUGGAAAGUUCACACUGUGACGGUAGCUUACCAGAAAGGGACGGCUAACUACGUGCCAGCAGCCGCGGUAAUACGUAGGUCCCGAGCGUUGUCCGGAUUUAUUGGGCGUAAAGCGAGCGCAGGCGGUUUGAUAAGUCUGAAGUUAAAGGCUGUGGCUCAACCAUAGUUCGCUUUGGAAACUGUCAAACUUGAGUGCAGAAGGGGAGAGUGGAAUUCCAUGUGUAGCGGUGAAAUGCGUAGAUAUAUGGAGGAACACCGGUGGCGAAAGCGGCUCUCUGGUCUGUAACUGACGCUGAGGCUCGAAAGCGUGGGGAGCGAACAGGAUUAGAUACCCUGGUAGUCCACGCCGUAAACGAUGAGUGCUAGGUGUUGGAUCCUUUCCGGGAUUCAGUGCCGCAGCUAACGCAUUAAGCACUCCGCCUGGGGAGUACGACCGCAAGGUUGAAACUCAAAGGAAUUGACGGGGGCCCGCACAAGCGGUGGAGCAUGUGGUUUAAUUCGAAGCAACGCGAAGAACCUUACCAGGUCUUGACAUCCCGAUGCUAUUUCUAGAGAUAGAAAGUUACUUCGGUACAUCGGUGACAGGUGGUGCAUGGUUGUCGUCAGCUCGUGUCGUGAGAUGUUGGGUUAAGUCCCGCAACGAGCGCAACCCCUAUUGUUAGUUGCCAUCAUUCAGUUGGGCACUCUAGCGAGACUGCCGGUAAUAAACCGGAGGAAGGUGGGGAUGACGUCAAAUCAUCAUGCCCCUUAUGACCUGGGCUACACACGUGCUACAAUGGUUGGUACAACGAGUUGCGAGUCGGUGACGGCAAGCUAAUCUCUUAAAGCCAAUCUCAGUUCGGAUUGUAGGCUGCAACUCGCCUACAUGAAGUCGGAAUCGCUAGUAAUCGCGGAUCAGCACGCCGCGGUGAAUACGUUCCCGGGCCU